GCUGAGGCAGGGUACUCACAUGAACCGCCUGAACUGCACUGAACUGCCUAUUUAAAACUCAAGUGCUCAUGCUGAUGCUGUGCUUUUAGUGCCACUGGGACACUGCAAAGCUGGAUAUGCGUGUGUUCAGGACGGGCAGCCCUGUGCACACACUGCCCUGAAGAGCAAGGUCCCAGACCUAUGCCAGACCCAUGCGAGUCUGAUUACACCUCAGGGCCAAAGCGUGGCAUUCUCAUCAUUUCUGGUAUAGCUCAGCAUCCUCAAACGCCCAUCUCUGGACCUCAGCUUGAUUGGCUUUGGUCCCCAGCAAUCACAUCUCUGCACUGCAGGUUCAGUGGCUUCUUUCUCAGCCAGCAGUUUCACUCCAAGGUACUCAGAGCACCAGUGGGGAUGGGGAAGCACUCCAGCUACAGCCAGUGUAAUACACAGCCAUCCCCUGGCCAUGGACAGGGCUGCAGGGCCCUCAUGCAAGCACGGGGAGGGCACCUCUGGUAACUUCCAAACUGAAUCGUAUGCCACUGCUCCAUCCUGCUUCACUCUGUCUCACAGGUCCACUUCUACCAUGCUACAUACAGUGAACUAGCUCAUUUUUAUUUUGAAGUACUCCACACCAUUUUCUUCUUCUAGUCACUUACCUGUUUGUCCUCAGCUGGGCUCUCAGCUUUCCUGAGCACUCAAAAAGCCCCUAGAACAUUGCAGGCACCUUUGUAAGGGAUGGAGAAAUGCUGCUGCCUUCCCCAGCUGGUUCAUACAUCAUCACUACAGCUCCUCCACCAAGAUCUAGUCUGACAGCACCAAACCCAUCAUACAGGGUCAUCUGUGAUAUCAGAGCUAGCCACAAUUACAGGUGGGUGCUUGGGGGCAGAUCUCAACUUAUGUAAAUCAGAGCAACUCCACCCCCUGCAUUUGGAGUGAGAUUGAAAAUUGUAAUGUCAGCUACUAAAAUAUUAAAAUUCUGCUUCCUGGAGAGCAGUGGCAUGUAGAAGAAAGUUUGCUGUGAUUCUCAUAAGAUCCUAUUACAGGAGAGAAAGGAGAAAUGGCUGCAGAACAAAUCAUACGAAUUCCUGUAUCCAGCAGUCCAACAGUCCCUUACAAAACAAGAGAGAGAAAGCGCAUGUGUGUGGUGGAAGCAAUAAAAAGCACAUUUGUCCCCCAUUCA